rnacentral:rRNA from 1 species
UACAGAGGUCUCAAGCGUUGUUCGGAUUCAUUGGGCGUAAAGGGUGCGUAUGUGGUGGGGUAAGUCGGAUGUGAAAUCCCGGGGCUCAACCCCGGAACUGCAUUCGAUACUGCCUUGCUCGAGUACUGGAGAGGAGACUGGAAUUUACGGUGUAGCAGUGAAAUGCGUAGAUAUCGUAAGGAAGACCAGUGGCGAAGGCGGGUCUCUGGACAGUUCCUGACGCUGAGGCACGAAGGCCAGGGGAGCAAACGGG